AAGGUUUCCGUAGGUGAACCUGCGGAAGGAUCAUUAUUGAAAUAAACCUGAUGGGUUGCUGCUGGCUCUCUCGGGAGCAUGUGCACACUUGUCAUCUUUAUAUCUCCACCUGUGCACCUUUUGUAGAUCUGGAUAUCUUUCUGAAUGCCUGCAUUCAGGUUUGAGGAUUGACUUGUCUUUCCUUACAUUUCCAGGCCUACGUUUCUUCAUAUACACCAUGUAUGUUAUAGAAUGUAAUGAAAAGGGCCUUUGUGCCUACAAACUUAUACAACUUUCAGCAACGGAUCUCUUGGCUCUCGCAUCGAUGAAGAACGCAGCGAAAUGCGAUAAGUAAUGUGAAUUGCAGAAUUCAGUGAAUCAUCGAAUCUUUGAACGCACCUUGCGCUCCUUGGUAUUCCGAGGAGCAUGCCUGUUUGAGUGUCAUUAAUAUAUCAACCUCCUCAGGUUUUUACUUGUCGAGUGUUUGGAUGUGGGGGUUUUUUUUGCUGGUCUCUUUUGAGAUCGGCUCCCCUGAAAUGCAUUAGCGGAACAAUUUGUUGACCCGUUCAUUGGUGUGAUAACUAUCUACGCUAUUGACGUGAAGCAGGUUCAGCUUCUAACAGUCCAUUAACUUGGACAAAUUUUCAUUAAUGUGACCUCAAAUCAGGUAGGACUACCCGCUGAACUUAAGCAUAUCAAUAAGCGGAGGAAAAGAAACUAACAAGGAUUCCCCUAGUAACUGCGAGUGAAGCGGGAAAAGC
rnacentral:rRNA from 1 species